AACGAAUGCUGGCGGCAUGCCUAACACAUGCAAGUCGAACGAGACCUUCGGGUCUAGUGGCGCACGGGUGCGUAACGCGUGGGAACCUGCCCUUAGGUUCGGAAUAACUCCCCGAAAGGGGUGCUAAUACCGGAUAAUGUCUUCGGACCAAAGAUUUAUCGCCUUUGGAUGGGCCCGCGUUGGAUUAGCUAGUUGGUAGGGUAAAAGCCUGCCAAGGCGACGAUCCAUAGCUGGUCUGAGAGGAUGAUCAGCCACACUGGGACUGAGACACGGCCCAGACUCCUACGGGAGGCAGCAGUGGGGAAUAUUGGACAAUGGGCGAAAGCCUGAUCCAGCAAUGCCGCGUGAGUGAUGAAGGCCUUAGGGUUGUAAAGCUCUUUUACCCGGGAUGAUAAUGACAGUACCGGGAGAAUAAGCUCCGGCUAACUCCGU
rnacentral:rRNA from 1 species